GGUAGUUCGGAGUAAAGUCGAUCGUGGCUGGGAGAAGUCUGAAAGAGAUUCGGAGAAUAGUCGAUCACUGUAGAGAAUCAGCUGAAAGUGAAGCUCAGAGAGCAUUUGGAACAGUCCGGUAGAUGAAUGGAGAAGCUCAUGAUUGGAGAAGUUUGGAUGGUAUUAUGGAAGCUCAGAUGGUCGGGAGAGUUCGGAAAGACGCCACACAAGGUCGGA
rnacentral:lncRNA from 1 species